rnacentral:rRNA from 1 species
UACGGAGGAUCCAAGCGUUGUCCGGAUUUGUUGGGUUUAAAGGGUGCGUAGGCGGACUACUAAGUCAGAGGUGAAAGUUUGCAGCUUAACUGUAAAAUUGCCUUUGAAACUGGUAGUCUUGAGUAUAGUUGAGGUGGGCGGAAUGUGUCAUGUAGCGGUGAAAUGCUUAGAUAUGAUACAGAACACCGAUUGCGAAGGCAGCUCACUAAACUAUAACUGACGCUGAGGCACGAAAGCGUGGGGAGCAAACAGG